rnacentral:misc_RNA from 1 species
UUUUAAUUGUGAAAACGAAGAAAAUUAAUUGCUAUAAGCAAAGCAAAAACCACACCAAAAGAAAUAAUCUUCAGAUAUUCUUAAACAAAAUUACUUUGUGUUCUACUUAAAUGUUAAACAGCUAACAGUUUAAUAAUAACUUCUUAAUCCAGCAAUACAUUACUGAAGAGAACAAAAGGAAAAAGAACAGAAACUCUUUGAAUCAUACUUCAGGGAAAGCCACAGGCAAUGCAUGUGUGUAACAGAUCCUUCAAACAUUCAGCGAUACUGGAAACACAAAGCAAACAAAAAUAAGUUCCUCAGUCCUCACUCCAUUAAACAAGAAAAUGCAGCAGUAAUAAUGCCAAAUAUCUGGUCAGUUUCCACAAUCCAACAUUUUCAGUAUUAUUCUCCUCUAUGAUGCUUCUAAAUUUGAAACGUACUACCCAAACUUUUGAUAAAGGAAAGUAUGUCAAAUACACGCAAAAAGCUUAAAUUGAAUCACUAGCAAACUUUAAUUAGAAAACUGUGGUAUCUAGUCAUUAACAUGGUCAAUUAGCCAACAAAGCAAUGCAGAAAUAAAACACUGAACCAAACAAACAUCAAUGAACAUAGCGAAAUAUUUUCAAAUCUUACCUUGAUGAAUCCAAUUUCCUUGGCAUUGCUGCGGAAGCACUGCCUGCAGCACAUCAGCCCAUAUUUCCUGAUCAAUCCAUGAGGGUUUCCACAAACCCGGCAGGCACGAGAACCGGGACCAUAGGUCUUCGGAUGUGAGUUCCAGAUAUUUGAAUGGCCCAUUGUUUUGGAACGCUUGAGAGAAAGAACGACUCGCUGCUUGCCGCCUCACUAUGCCUUGCAAAAACCCUAACUGUGGGAAAUUUAUAGAAUACUAUACGAUGAUGAGAGAAAUUUUUGCUUUUGCCCAUUGUU